UCAAUUGUGCAUUCCAUACCCCCUGGCCAGCGACUCCCCGAGAGAAAUGGUCGAGUAAGUGCCUUUCUAGACAUCCACGGUCUGUGAACCUCUAGUUUGAAGUUUUCCCAGGAAUCCCUAGAGAAUGUUCUCCACCAAAAUGAGAGGAUAAGCAAAGAGCGAGGAAGACCUGGGAUCCAGGAGGACAAGCGGAGACUUCACAGAGAAGUCGAAACGCCAGCCCCAGCCACAGGCCUGGAUGGGGAGAGAAUGGCUGGGAAAUGCCCAGAAGGAAACAAGCAAAGAAAGGCAGGUAGCCACACAAAAUGAUGUGCAGUUUUCUGCGAAGUGACAUCUGUUAAACAGUGAUGUGUGGAGCCUGACACUAGCAGGCCCAGUGGCGAUGCUUCCUCCGGCUCAGAGAGCAGUCCCAGGAGCAGAGCGUGAUGGCCAGCACAGGGCUCCCAGCUGAGCCGCAGGCCAAGUCCAGUGCCGGCCUGGGGGUUCUGUGUGUUUCCCAGGGCAUGGCCAUCGGACGCGGCAGCUGGUCCUGGGCCGUGCCCAGUGCUGUGGAUGGAGGACGGCUCGCGGCCAGGAAAGCACUGCUGUAGCUUCACUAAGACACCCAGGAGGGGCUCCGCGCUGCAGCUUGUCCGGCGGCACAGGAGAGGCGGCAGCGCCAGCCAUGUGUCCUGCGCUGGUCACCGGACCUCCGGGCCCAGAGCUGCGGCUACUCAAGGAAGUGAGCCAUGGGGACAUCACAGCACACGGAGACGCAGGGAGAGCGCACCGCAGCCAGGCCCUGUGAGAACACUCGGCGUUUGCCAACCUCCAUCCAACCUCCCCUUCCUCCUCCAGCCCCUUCCAACACCCGGCUUUUCGCUGAAGGAUCUGUAUUUCUUCUGCAUCAUGAAACACUGGGUGCUGAGCAGGCCACGCGCCCACCGGCGGGGAGAGAAUAAUCUCAUCCACAGCGAGUGCUCAUGAUAGAAGCCGCGGGCUCUGGAGUCACUCAGGCCCGGGGCCCAGAAGCAGGAGUGCUCCGGCCGGGCCUUCCCCAGGGGGACUGCGCACCCGCCGUAACCAGCACACCUGCCUCAGCUCCUCUCAGACCCAUCCCAGCGUCUUCCAUCCCACACCCCCACACGACUACUGGGCCUGCGCUCACCCCGCUUUCUACAGCCUCUUUGUGUGUAGGGUGUGUGUGGGCGGGGGUUGCAGGGGCGUGUGUGUGGUGGUGUGUGUGUGUGUGAUGUGUGUAUAUGUUGUG